rnacentral:rRNA from 1 species
GGCAAAGUUAAUAAGGGCGCACGGUGGAUGCCUUGGCAUUAAGAGCCGAAGAAGGACGUGACUAACGACGAUAUUCUAGGGGGAGCAGUAAGUACGCAUUGAUCCCUAGGUCUCCGAAUGGGGAAACCCACUAUGUUAUGCAUAGUAUCCGUAAGUGAAUACAUAGCUUACGCGAAGGUAACGCAGAGAACUGAAACAUCUAAGUACCUGCAGGAAGAGAAAGUAAAAACGAUUUCCUAAGUAGCGGCGAGCGAACGGGAAACAGGCCAAACCAAGAAGCUUGCUUCUUGGGGUUGUAGGACUGCAACGUGGACUUAAAGUCUAUAGAAGAAUUACCUGGGAAGGUAAGCCAAAGAGAGUAAUAGCCUCGUAUUUGAAAUAGACUUUAUACCUAGCAGUAUCCUGAGUAGGGCUGGACACGCGAAAUCCAGUUUGAAUCCGGGAGGACCAUCUCCCAAGCCUAAAUACUCCUUAAUGACCGAUAGUGAACCAGUACCGUGAGGGAAAGGUGAAAAGAACCCCGGGAGGGGAGUGAAAUAGCACCUGAAACCGUGUGCCUACAAGAAGUUCGAGCCCGUCAAUGGGUGAGAGCGUGCCUUUUGUAGAAUGAACCGGCGAGUUACGUUAUGAUGCGAGGUUAAGCUGAAGAGGCGGAGCCGUAGCGAAAGCGAGUCUGAAUAGGGCGCUUUAGUAUCAUGAUGUAGACCCGAAACCUAGUGACCUAUCCAUGAGCAGGUUGAAGGUGCGGUAAGACGCACUGGAGGACCGAACCAGGACACGUUGAAAAGUGUUUGGAUGACUUGUGGAUAGCGGAGAAAUUCCAAACGAACUGGGAGAUAGCUGGUUCUCUCCGAAAUAGCUUUAGGGCUAGCGUCGCAAUUUAAGUGUAUUGGAGGUAGAGCACUGUUUGGAUGAGGGCCCAUCUCGGGUUACCAAUUUCAGAUAAACUCCGAAUGCUAAUACACAUGUGCGGCAGUCAGACUGCGAGUGCUAAGAUCCGUAGUCGAAAGGGAAACAGCCCAGACCACCAGCUAAGGUCCCAAAAUAUAUGUUAAGUGGAAAAGGAUGUGGGGUUGCACAGACAACUAGGAUGUUAGCUCAGAAGCAGCUAUCAUUCAAAGAGUGCGUAAUAGCUCACUAGUCGAGUGACCCUGCGCCGAAAAUGUACCGGGGCUAAACAUAUUACCGAAGCUGUGGAUUUAAUAUUAAUUAAAUGGUAGGAGAGCGUUGUAAUCAGCGAUGAAGGUAUACCGUGAGGGGUGCUGGAGCGAUUACAAGUGAGAAUGCCGGUAUGAGUAGCGCAAGAUAAGUGAGAAUCUUAUCCACCGUAAGACUAAGGUUUCCAGGGGAAGGCUCGUCCGCCCUGGGUUAGUCGGGACCUAAGGCGAGGCCGAAAGGCGUAGUCGAUGGACAACAGGUUGAUAUUCCUGUACUAGUAUUGUUAGUGAUGGAGGGACGCAGUAGGCUAAAGGGAGCCAGUUAAUGGAUUCUGGUCUAAGCAGUGAGGUGUGGAAUGUGUCAAAUGCAUUUUCCUUUAACAUUGAGCUGUGAUGGGGAAGCAACUACGGUUGCGAAGCCCUUGAUGUCACACUGCCAAGAAAAUCUUCUAGCGUUUAAUUCAAUACUACCCGUACCGCAAACCGACACAGGUAGUCGAGGCGAGUAGCCUCAGGUGAUCGAGAGAACUCUCGUUAAGGAACUCGGCAAAAUGACCCCGUAACUUCGGGAGAAGGGGUGCUGUAGAAAUACAGCCGCAGUGAAAAGAUCCAAGCAACUGUUUAUCAAAAACACAGCUCUCUGCUAAACCGCAAGGUGAUGUAUAGGGGGUGACGCCUGCCCGGUGCUGGAAGGUUAAGAGGAGGGGUUAGACAUUAGUCGAAGCUCUGAAUUGAAGCCCCAGUAAACGGCGGCCGUAACUAUAACGGUCCUAAGGUAGCGAAAUUCCUUGUCGGGUAAGUUCCGACCCGCACGAAAGGCGUAAUGAUUUGGAUACUGUCUCAACGAGAGACUCGGUGAAAUUUUAGUACCUGUGAAGAUGCAGGUUACCCGCGACAGGACGGAAAGACCCCAUGGAGCUUUACUGCAGAUUGAUAUUGAGUACCUGUGAAGCAUGUACAGGAUAGGUAGGAGACUUUGACCUUGGGACGCUAGUUUCAAGUGAGUCGCUGUUGGGAUACUACCCUUGCUUCAUGGUUGCUCUAACCCACACGCAUAAUCGGCGUGGGAGACAGUGUCUGUCGGGCAGUUUGACUGGGGCGGUCGCCUCCUAAAGAGUAACGGAGGCGCCCAAAGGUUCCCUCAACAUGGUUGGAAAUCAUGUGUAGAGUGUAAAGGUAUAAGGGAGCUUGACUGCGAGAGCUACAACUCGAGCAGGUAGGAAACUAGGGCUUAGUGAUCCGGUGGUACCGCAUGGAAGGGCCAUCGCUCAACGGAUAAAAGCUACCCUGGGGAUAACAGGCUUAUCUCCCCCAAGAGUUCACAUCGACGGGGAGGUUUGGCACCUCGAUGUCGGCUCGUCGCAUCCUGGGGCUGUAGUCGGUCCCAAGGGUUGGGCUGUUCGCCCAUUAAAGCGGCACGCGAGCUGGGUUCAGAACGUCGUGAGACAGUUCGGUCCCUAUCCGUCGCGGGCGUAGGAAAUUUGAGAGGAUCUGCCCUUAGUACGAGAGGACCGGGGUGGACUUACCGCUGGUGUACCAGUUGUUCCGCCAGGAGCACCGCUGGGUAGCUAUGUAGGGAAGGGAUAAGCGCUGAAAGCAUCUAAGUGCGAAGCCCACCUCAAGAUGAGAUUUCCCAUUCUUUAUGAAUUAAGAGCCCUGAGAGAUGAUCAGGUUGAUAGGCUGGAAGUGGAAGUCCUGCGAGGGAUGGAGCGGACCAGUACUAAUAGCUCGAGGACUUUACCAA